rnacentral:rRNA from 1 species
UACGGGGGGGGCAAGCGUUGUUCGGAAUUACUGGGCGUAAAGGGCUGGUAGGCGGCCAACUAAGUCGGAUGUGAAAUCCCCAGGCUUAACCUGGGAACUGCAUCCGAUACUGGUCGGCUUGAAUCCGGGAGAGGGAUGCAGAAUUCCAGGUGUAGCGGUGAAAUGCGUAGAUAUCUGGAGGAAUACCGGUGGCGAAGGCGGCAUCCUGGACCGGCAUUGACGCUGAACAGCGAAAGCUAGGGGAGCAAACGGG